AUAUUAAUGUAAACGGCCGCCCUAGCGUGAGGGUGCUAAGGUAGCGAAAUUCCUUGCCUUUUGAUUGUAGGCCUGCAUGAAUGGUUUAACGAGGGUUUAGCUGUCUCUAAAUUUUUAAUUGAAAUUGUAUUGAAGGUGAAGAUACCUUCAUUUAAAAGUUAGACAAAAAGACCCCGUGCAACUUUGAAAAUUAACUUUAUUCAGGGGUAAAAGAUUUUUAGGUGGGGCGCCUAGAAAGUAAGCCUAACCUUUCUGAGUAAGAGUUUCUUUCAGGAGUUGACCCGAUUAUAUUCGAUCAUAGGAGAAGUUACGCCGGGGAUAACAGGCUAAUCCUUUAGUAGAGCUCGUAUUGGCUAAAGGGAUUGGCACCUCGAUGUUGAAUCAGGGAUGAUAGCUUCAAGGCGUAGAGGCUUUGAGAGUAGGUCUGUUCGACCUUUAAUACCCUACGUGAUCUGAGUU
rnacentral:rRNA from 1 species